AGAGUGAACGCUGGCGGUAGGCCUAACACAUGCAAGUCGAACGGCAGCACAGGAGAGCUUGCUCUCUGGGUGGCGAGUGGCGGACGGGUGAGGAAUACAUCGGAAUCUACCUUUUCGUGGGGGAUAACGUAGGGAAACUUACGCUAAUACCGCAUAAGACCUUCGGGUGAAAGCCGGGGACCUUCGGGCCUGGCGCGGAUAGAUGAGCCGAUGUCGGAUUAGCUU
rnacentral:rRNA from 1 species